GCGGGAGUGGCGAAACUGGUAGACGCACCAGAUUUAGGUUCUGGCGCCGCAAGGUGUGCGAGUUCAAGUCUCGCCUCCCGCACCA
rnacentral:tRNA from 1 species